GAUGAACGCUGGCGGCGUGCCUAAUACAUGCAAGUCGAGCGAACGGACGAGAAGCUUGCUUCUCUGAUGUUAGCGGCGGACGGGUGAGUAACACGUGGAUAACCUACCUAUAAGACUGGGAUAACUUCGGGAAACCGGAGCUAAUACCGGAUAAUAUUUUGAACCGCAUAGUUCAAAAGUGAAAGACGGUCUUGCUGUCACUUAUAGAUGGAUCCGCGCUGCAUUAGCUAGUUGGUAAGGUAACGGCUUACCAAGGCAACGAUGCAUAGCCGACCUGAGAGGGUGAUCGGCCACACUGGAACUGAGACACGGUCCAGACUCCUACGGGAGGCAGCAGUAGGGAAUCUUCCGCAAUGGGCGAAAGCCUGACGGAGCAACGCCGCGUGAGUGAUGAAGGUCUUCGGAUCGUAAAACUCUGUUAUUAGGGAAGAACAUAUGUGUAAGUAACUGUGCACAUCUUGACGGUACCUAACCAGAAAGCCACGGCUAACUACGUG
rnacentral:rRNA from 1 species